GACGAACGCUGGCGGCGUGCUUAACACAUGCAAGUCGAGCGGUAAGGCCCUUUCGGGGGUACACGAGCGGCGAACGGGUGAGUAACACGUGGGUGACCUGCCCUUAGCUCUGGGAUAAGCCUGGGAAACUGGGUCUAAUACCGGAUAUGACUCCAUGACGCAUGUUGUGGGGUGGAAAGCCUUGUGCGGCUAGGGAUGGGCCCGCGGCCUAUCAGCCUUGUUGGUGGGGUGAUGGCCUACCAGGGCGACGACGGGUAGCCGGCCUGAGAGGGCGACCGGCCACACUGGGACUGAGACACGGCCCAGACUCCUACGGGAGGCAGCAGUGGGGAAUCUUGCGCAAUGGGCGAAAGCCUGACGCAGCGACGCCGCGUGGGGAUGACGGCCUCGG
rnacentral:rRNA from 1 species